CAGUCGCCGCGGUAAUACGUAGGUGGCAAGCGUUGUCCGGAAUUAUUGAGCGUAAAGGGCUCGCAGGCGGUUUCUUAAGUCUGAUGUGAAAGCCCCCGGCUCAACCGGGGAGGGUCAUUGGAAACUGGGAAACUUGAGUGCAGAAGAGGAGAGUGGAAUUCCACGUGUAGCGGUGAAAUGCGUAGAGAUGUGGAGGAACACCAGUGGCGAAGGCGACUCUCUGGUCUGUAACUGACGCUGAGGAGCGAAAGCGUGGGGAGCGAACAGGAUUAGAUACCCCAGUAGUCCCUGUCUCUUAUAC
rnacentral:rRNA from 1 species